rnacentral:snoRNA from 1 species
CUGGCUCUGAUCAAAAGCAGCAGCUUGUAGUAACUGCUAGUUUUUUUUAAAAGGGCCUAAAUUAACAUCCUUCCUGUGGUCUGUUGAUUUUCUCUCACCUGUUAAAAGGAGCUAAUCAUUUCAGUUGGAAGGAACAAAA